rnacentral:lncRNA from 1 species
AAAAGCAAUGGACUGAUCCUGCUCACUGUUCCAGCCCUCGUACUUAGAGCGUCGAUACACUCGAUGCGCAUCUAUUAGCUGCGUCCCAGGUUUUCCUUGAUUAGAUCACAGCGUCGAAGAACUUGUUAUGUAGCCCAGUCCCUGUCCCUAUGCGGCCGUGUGGCUUGGAGCAAGCCAUCGACACUGUCCAGGGCACGGAUGAGCCAGGGCCAGCACCAGAAGUGACUUUUAGGGACUGCUGCCACGUUCUCACCUGCAUGCCUCCGUUUCCCCUCUGGUAUCUAAGAGAGAGUAAUUCAGAUUACAGUUGAACAUGGCAAAUAAAGACAAUUACCAAACAAACAGACGAAAAAAAAUCUGACUAAAGUUGAGUGUAGCUGUGAAAAGUUAAGGGCAUGACACCUAGGGUAGGGGUGGAGGGGAUGGACAGUCUGUAGUGUCCCCUUCCCUUGGUCCCCUAAGCAAAUUCCUUUUUAACUUAAUGAUUAUCCAAGGCUGCAUGGCUUUUAUCUUUUUAUUCCGCCUCUCAGAUCCAUAGCUCUAGUCCUAGUGAUAGUGACAAGAGGCAGAGAAAUUCUAGGCAGAGAGGGGUGGAUCCCUGGUGAAGCCCCACCCUCAAGCCAAAAAGCCUGAGACCACAGCCCAAAGUGAGAACUUAUAUCCCCAUUUUCCUGCUUGAAUGUUGCCUUUUCCUAAACUACCAUGGUCCUGCCCUGCCCCAUCCUGUGCCUAUAAAGACCCCAGACUCAGCCGGUAGAGAGGAGAAGCAGCUGCAUGUUGGGGACUAUGGCCAAAGUCAGAGAGAACCAGCUUGACUUCAGAGGGACAGCUUGACAGUGUAACUUCAAAGAAGAAUCUGGCCAGAGACUGCUGGACCUCAGGGGAAGAUUACCUACAUUCCCUGGCCCCUUUUCAACCUCCCUUCCCUCUGAGAGCCACUUUCAUCAGCAA